rnacentral:lncRNA from 1 species
GAAAGGCCUGGCAAGCAGCGCAGCCUGCGCAGCCGGUGGAGAGGCGUCUGGCGUUUGAGUCGUGGGAGUGUCGCCGGGUGAGGCUCUGGGCUGCGGGGGCUCGGAAGCCUGGCGGGUGGCCGUGGGAGGGCGCGCGUCCUGGCGGAGGUGCGAUCAAGGGCCGCACGUGUGUCCGCGCGCCGCGGCCGGCGCUGCGUUCCCCAGACAUAGCGGUGAUCAACUGAGACCAGGCGGACCCAAGCGCUGAGCCGGCAGUGGCUCCGAGGGGCCCUCCUCUCUACUGCCUGAGCUUCGGCCUUGGCUGGCCUGGGAGCUUCGCAGUUGGCCACACCGGCCUUUUACACGCCGAUGACUGGCCUUAUUCGAAGGAGGUUUUCGGUGGACGUUAGGAGACCGAGAGGGGCUCCUGUGAGGGACCAACCCUCCCGUCCCCACAGUCCUGCCUUCGCUGAAAAGAGAUUGCGUCAGAGCCCCUGCAUCCCCGAUAGAGUCACUUUCAGGCGUCUCGAGCAGCUGAAAUAUCUCCGAGAGGCGACACAUUCAUCCGGAGAGCUUGCUCUAACUAGAACUUCAGGGCAAUGGCUGGGGAAGUAGGCACAUCUUAGAGCUGCUGGGGGCAGUGGGAUUUUCUUAUUUUCAUGGGUUUGCGAGGGAGGCUUGGGCUAUUUGAUCCAGAGCCCGGUGGAGAGAGGCGAGGGAGGCGCAGCGUGAAGAGACAGCGAAAGCAUCCCAGGAGAGGGUGUGUAAAGGCAACAGGACCUGAUAACGUUUUUCCCCCGGCAGUCUUGCUGGACUGGCUAGUCUGUGUCCAGCAAAGUGGACCUGAUUUUCACGGCUUUUUCGCUUCCCUUAACUCCACUUUUCCAGGAAUCUGUCCUUCCUGAAAGGAGAAAAUGACCAAGUUCCAGGAACAGGUAGCAUUCAAGGACGCCUCUGUGGACUUCACCAAGAAAGAGUGGGGUUGCUGGACUCUAUUGAGAGGAAACUGCACAGAGCUGUGAUGCUGGAGAACUACAGCCACUUGGUCUCAGUGGUCCUAUGUUCGCAGCAUGAUCCUGGAGUGCACCACCCUACUGAUGCUCAGCCCUUUCCUGGUGCACGUGUGUUCAGCUCUCAGGGGACACCUCUGCUGACUGGGCUUGGCAUGAAU